UGAACAGUUCUACAAUACGAGCCGAACAACGCUGCAGCGAAAGAAUUCUACCCACUCAUCAUAGAAAAGCUCCAGCAAACGAAUAAAGAUGGAGGUAACAAUGAAAACGAAAGCGAGGAUGAAGAAAUCAGUGAAGGAGGUUCCAGUUCUAACACGGAUUCAGAAAAUAGUACUUCUGAGGAGAGUAGUGAAGGUCAAGAGGAAGAAGAAGAAAUAGAGGUGGAACAAAGCGGAAGCGAUAAACAGUCUAAAGGAUCUUCAGAAGGAGACGGUACAACAGGAAGUUAUUCUAGUUUGGAAGACGAUGAAGCUGAAGCUGUGGAUCGAUUAGUUGCUUUGGCAGCAAGAUAUCACAUCGACAACGUGAAUCUGGGCAACGGAAAUAAAGUCUG